rnacentral:lncRNA from 1 species
GUCUACUGAAAAUGGACAUAAUUUUAUAAUUUCCUCUCUAUUUCCCAAAAUAUACAGCCUAAUUGUAAUAAAGUGUAUGAUACAUUAAAAAGAACAAAAAUAGAAUUGCAGGUACUCAGGUGAUAGUAAUGAUGGUAAAUGCAGCUAGUUGUCAAAAUGGGAGUUAGGAAUGGAACUUGAGAAGCAAUCACCCGAGAUAAAGCUUCAAUUUUCGCACAGCUCCAACCCAAUGCUUUUAGACUGUCGGGUUCCAUUAUUUUUACCUUACUCUUCGUCCGCCUCAUUACCGUUGAUGAGGAUUGCACCAUCCGUAGAAUCGGCAUCCACUACAACUGCUUCCUCUUGGCUUCCUUCCUCUCCAU